UGCCGACGUGGUGGAAUUGGUAGACACGCUACCUUGAGGGGGUAGUGGGCUACGCUCGUGCGAGUUCAACUCUCGCCGUCGGCACC
rnacentral:tRNA from 1 species